rnacentral:rRNA from 1 species
CCUACGGGUGGCAGCAGUAGGGAAUCUUCCACAAUGGGCGAAAGCCUGAUGGAGCAACGCCGCGUGGGUGAAGAAGGUCUUCGGAUCGUACAACUCUGUUGUUAGAGAAGAAAGUGCGUGAGAGUAACUGUUCACGUUUCGACUGUAUCUAACCAGAAAGCUACGGCUACCUACGUGCAGGCAGCCGCGUUAAUACGUAGGGGGCAAGCGUUAGCCGGCUUUAUUGGUCGUAAAGGGAGCGUAGGCGGGCUUUUAAGUCUGAUGUGAAAGCCUGCGGCGUAACCGGGGUAGUGCAGUUGAAACUGGAAGACUUGAGUGCAGAAGAGGAGAGUGGAACUCAAUGUGUAGCGGUGAAAUGCGUAGAUAUAAGGAAGAACACCAGUGGCGAAAGCGGCUCUCUGGUCUGUAACUGACGCUGAGGUUCGAAAGCGUGGGUAGCAAACAGGAUUAGAUACCCGGGUAGUC